rnacentral:rRNA from 1 species
GCUAAUACCGCAUACGCCCUACGGGGGAAAGGAGGGGACCUUGGGCCUUUCGCGAUUGGAUGAACCCAGGUGGGAUUAGCUAGUUGGUGGGGUAAUGGCUCACCAAGGCGACGAUCCCUAGCUGGUCUGAGAGGAUGAUCAGCCACACUGGAACUUGAGACACGGUCCAGACUCCUACGGGAGGCAGCAGUGGGGAAUAUUGCACAAUGGGGGAAACCCUGAUGCAGCCAUGCCGCGUGUGUGAAGAAGGCCUUCGGGUUGUAAAGCACUUUCAGCGAGGAGGAAAGGUUGGCAGCUAAUAUCUGUCAGCUGUGACGUUACUCGCAGAAGAAGCACCGGCUAACUCCGUGCCAGCAGCCGCGGUAAUACGGAGGGUGCAAGCGUUAAUCGGAAUUACUGGGCGUAAAGCGCACGCAGGCGGUUGGAUAAGUUAGAUGUGAAAGCCCCGGGCUCAACCUGGGAAUUGCAUUCUAAAACUGUUCAGCUAGAGUCUUGUAGAGGGGGGUAGAAUUCCAGGUGUAGCCGGUGAAAUGCGUAAGAGAUCUUGGAGGAAUACCCGG